UCGACGACCUCAGAGCAGGCGAGAC
rnacentral:rRNA from 1 species